rnacentral:rRNA from 1 species
ACAUGCAAGUCGAGGGGCAUCGAGAGGAAAGCUUGCUUCCUUGUCGGCGACCGGCGCACGGGUGAGUAACGCGUAUCCAACCUUCCCCUUAGUAGGGCAUAGCCCGGCGAAAGUCGGAUUAAUACCCUAUGUUUUCCGAUGAGGACAUCUGAGCUGGAAUAAAGAUUUAUCGCUAAGGGAUGGGGAUGCGUCUGAUUAGGUAGUCGGCGGGGUAACGGCCCACCGAGCCAACGAUCAGUAGGGGUUCUGAGAGGAAGGUCCCCCACAUUGGUACUGAGACACGGACCAAACUCCUACGGGAGGCAGCAGUGAGGAAUAUUGGUCAAUGGGCGAGAGCCUGAACCAGCCAAGUAGCCGUGCAGGAUGACGGCCCUAUGGGUUGUAAACUGCUUUUAUCGGGGGAUAAAGUGAGGGACGCGUCCCUUUUUGUAGGUACCCGAUGAAUAAGGACCGGCUAAUUCCGUGCCAGCAGCUGC